rnacentral:rRNA from 1 species
CCUACGGGAGGCAGCAGUGAGGCAUAUUGGUCAAUGGGCGGGAGCCUGAACCAGCCAAGCCGCGUGAGGGAAGAAGGUACUGCGUAUCGUAUACCUCUUUUGUCAGGGAACAAAGGCGGGGACUAGUCCCCGGAUGAGGGUACCUGAAGAACAAGCAUCGGCAAACUCCGUGUCAGCAGCCGCGGUAAUACGGAGGAUGAGAGCGUUAUUCGGAUUUAUUGGGUUUACAGGGUGCGCAGGCGGCCUCUUAAGUCAGCGGUAAAAGCCCGGGGCUCAACCCCGGCAAGCCGUUGAAACUUGCUGGCUGGAGUGGGAGAGAGGUACGCGGAAUGCGCGGUGUAGCGGUGAAAUGCUUAGAUAUCGCGCAGAACCCCGAUUGCGAAGGCAGCGUACCGGCUCCACACUGACGCUGAGGCACGAAGGCGUGGGUAUCGAACAGGAUGAGAUACCGCAGUAGUC